rnacentral:misc_RNA from 1 species
AGAAUGCUUUGAGCUCAGCAAGACCCCUUUAAUAUCAUCAAAGGUCGGUCAAUACAGAACUCUUGCUAUGCUCAAAUGUCCUUGCUGAGAAGGAAAUAGGGGAAGGGGUUUUGUGGACUGGGGAUACCACACCUUUCUGAAUUGUUCACCAUCAUCAUUUCUCUUUAGUUUUCUGCAAGAAUGUGUAAAUAGUUGGAUUUUGUCAUCUUGCUGAAGCGCUAUCAUUUUUUGGAACUUUCAUGGAUAACUAACAACUUAUUCUUCUCUUUAUCUGUCCAUUGCCUGUUUUGGGAGUCAGGUUGAUGUCUGGUCUGCUGGAGUUCUAUUUUACCAAAUGCUGUUUGGCAGACGUCCUUUUGGGCAU